rnacentral:tRNA from 1 species
ACUAUUUUGGCAGAUAAGUGCGUUGAAUUUAGAUUUCAUUUAUGUAAUUUUUAUUUAUUACAAAUAGUA